GAUUAAUGCUAGCGGCGUGCCUUAUGCAUGCAAGUCGAACGGUUCUGAUUUAUCAGGAUAGUGGCAAACGGGUGAGUAAUACGUAAGCAACCUGCCCCGAAGUAAGGAAUAAUCCGCCGAAAGGUGGACUAAUACCUUAUGUGGCGGCUUCUCGCUGGAGAGGUCACUAAAGUCUUCGGAUGCUUUGGGAGGGGCUUGCGUCUGAUUAGCUAGUUGGUGGGGUAACGGCCUACCAAGGCGAUGAUCGGUAGCUGGUUUGAGAGAAUGACCAGCCACACUGGGACUGAGACACGGCCCAGACUCCUACGGGAGGCAGCAGCAAGGAAUAUUGCGCAAUGGGCGAAAGCCUGACGCAGCGACGCCGCGUGAGGGAAGAAGGCCUUCGGGUCGUAAACCUCUUUUCUUGGGGAAGAAUAAUGACGGUACCCAGGGAAUAAGUCACGGCUAACUACGUGCCAGCAGCCGCCGUAAUAC
rnacentral:rRNA from 1 species